rnacentral:rRNA from 1 species
UAACACCUGUGCACUUGUUGGAUGUCUAGAGACGUAAAGUCGACAGUCAUCCACUUACACUAAACAAUAAUGUAACAAAUGUAGUCUUAUUAUAACAAAAUAAAACUUUCAACAACGGAUCUCUUGGCUCUCGCAUCGAUGAAGAACGCAGCGAAAUGCGAUAAGUAAUGUGAAUUGCAGAAUUCAGUGAAUCAUCGAAUCUUUGAACGCACCUUGCGCUCCUUGGUAUUCCGAGGAGCAUGCCUGUUUGAGUGUCAUGAAAACCCUCAACCUUAGAUUGGUUAUUUGACCUUUCUUUGGCUUGGAUUUGGACGUUUGCCGAUGUCAAGUCGGCUCGUCUUAAAAGUAAUAGCUGGAUCUGUCUCGCGACAUGGUUUGACUUGGCGUAAUAAGUAUUUCGCUAAGGACAUCUUCGGAUGGCCCUGUUGCAGGACUAAAGACCGCUUUCUAAUCCAUUGAUCUUCGGAUUAAUAUUCAUAACAUCUGGCCUCAAAUCAGGUAGGACUACCCGCUGAACUUAAGCAUAUCAAUAAGCGGAGGAAAAGAAACUAACAAGGAUUCCCCUAGUAACGGCGAGUGAAGCGGGAAGAGCUCAAAUUUGAAAUCUGGUAGCCUUCGGUUGCCCGAGUUGUAAUCUAGAGAAGUGUUUUCCGCGUUGGCCCAUGUACAAGUCCCUUGGAACAGGGCGUCAUAGAGGGUGAGAAUCCCGUCCUUGACAUGGACCCCCAAUGCUUUGUGAUACACUUUCAACGAGUCGAGUUGUU